rnacentral:tRNA from 1 species
GAGGGUAGAGCUUAGUGGUAGAGUCCAUGCUUAGCAUGCACGAGGUCCUGGUUCAAUCCCCAGUACCUCCA